UCUACAUGACCUGCCACCCUCCACCUCUCUGACCUCAUCUGCUUCCACUCUGCCCCUCCCUCACCCUGCUCCAGCCACCCUGCCUUCAAAUAUGCCCAUCAUACUCCCACCACAGGGCCUUUGUCUGUGCUGCCCUUUACCUGGAAAACCCUUCCCAUUCUGUCUGCCUGGCUCAGCUACCCACUUCAUUCAGGUCCCUGCUGCCUCCUCCAAGAGGCCUUCUCUGGUCUCCUGUGGUAGGCAGAAUAAUGGCCACAGAGAUGUCCACAUCCUAAUCCCCAAACCUGUGGCUAUGUUACCUUAUAUGGCAAAAGGGACUUCGCAGAUGUGAUGAAGGAUAAAGACUUUCAGAUGGGAGAUUAUCCUGGAUUCCCCAGGUGGGCCCCAUAUGAUCACAAGGAUCCUCACACAUGGAAUAGGGAGGCAGAAAAGGACAGUCGGAGGGAGAUGGGGUGUGGAAACUGAUUAGGGAACCUGAGAGAUGGCAGCGUGGGAAAAACAUGGCUCAAAGCUGUGGGCUUUGAAGGUGGAGGAAGGGGCUAUGAGCCAUGGAAAGCAGACAGCCUUUAGGAGCUGGACAAGACAAGGAAACAAAUUCUCCACCAGAGCCUCCAGCAAGGAACACAGCCCUGCCCUGACCUUGAUCUUGGCCAAGGGAGACUCAUAGAGAAUUUCUGAUCCCUGGAACUGUAAGAUUAUAAAUGCAUGUUUUUUUUAAGGCACUAAAAGUGGGUUAAUUUAUGAUGGCAGGCAUAGGAAACGAAUAUGUCUCCCUUCCUUGAUUGACAGUUCCUCAGCACAUUUAUUAGUGCCUGAUACACAAUAGCUUGACUUAUGAAUUGUCUCUUUUCUCUCACAGAAGGUCAGCUGCAGGAGGGCAGGGAUUUUUUGCUUGCUUGGUGUUACAUUCGCAGAUAGAGUUGUCACAUUUAACAAAUGGAAAUAUAAAACACCCAGUUAAAUUGAAUUUCAGAUAAAUAAUGAACUCCUUUUUAGUAUAAAGUUGCCCCAAAUAUUGCAAUUAUUUAUCGUUUAUCUGAAAUUAAAAUAAUUUAGGAGUCUUGUAUUUUAUCUGGCGAAUUCAUCCCCAACACAUAAAACCAUUCCUGGGUAUGUAUUAGGAUCUCAAUAAAUGUCUGUUGAAUGAGUGAAAUAGAUAAGCAAAUGAAUUCACAUUAACUUCUAGCUUAAAAACCCUCUUUGGCUCCCAGAAUGCCUACAGGGUAAAGUGUAAAUCAUAGCAAAUGAUAAAAGCAGACAGUUUCAUAGCCGCUUCAAUAUGCCAGACCCGGGCUGAGUGCUUUACACUUAUUAACUCACUCGGUUCUUGCAAUAACCCAAUGAGGUGGUUAGCCCAUUUUCCAGAUGAGGAAACUGAGGCCCAGGAGGCUUAGUAACUUGUUCAAAGUCACAUAACCAUUGAGCAGCAGAGCCAGGCAAUUCCAGGCCUUUGAAAACUUGGCUCAUGGAAUGUUCUAAUGUUAUCUCCCUACCCAUUCCCCUGAACACUGUGGAUCCUCUCUCUCUAACAGCCCCCGGUUCCUUUUCAGGGUAUGUGCUUCCGCAUUCUCUGACUGCUGAACUCCUCCUCAUACAUCAAAGCCCUGUCCUACUUUUCUCUCUUUGUGAGACCAUCUCUAAAACUCCCAGGAGGACUUGGCCCCCUCUCUUUCCCCUCCCCACCAUGGCCCCUUGUCUGAAUGCGUUGUAAGGACUUGCUAUUGUGUCCUUUACGUUCCCUGACUGUGACCUCCCUGAGAACGGAGAUGGGCCCCUUUCAGCUCUUUGGCAUGGGGCUUCAAACUGAGUCUGGCUUUAGGGGGGUUCCCAGAAGCAUUUGAGAAUGAAUGAAUGAAUGAAUGAAUGAGUGAGUGAAUGAAUGGCUGAGUGAAUGAACGAAUGCUGUUUGUUUCCACUCUGGGCCUCAGUUUCAGAGUCUAUAAAAGGGGAAGAACAAUCCUGAACCGCCCCCCAUUCCUUAAAACAAAACACAUUUUUUUCUGAUUAUAAAAAUAAUACACAUUCAUUAAAGAAAAAUUGGAAAAUAAUAAAAUUAUGAAGAAGAAAAUUAAAACCAUCCAUAAUCCUGCCACCCAGAACAAUGGUUCCCACUGGGUGUUCAGCCUUCUGCUCUUCUUACUGUAUGUAUAGAUUUAUUAUCUUCUUCUCUUCCCCGCCCUCCCUCCCUUCUCUCCUUCCUUUUUUUUUUGAGUGUUGGGAACAUACAGUAUGGGGUCCUUUAAACCUGCUUUUGAAAUCCCCCAACAUGUGUGUAUGUGUGUUCUCCUGUUUUCUUAAAGCCUCCCUGAUGGCAGGGGACAAGUGGCUGCUAGACAAGCCUGGUAGGGGCCAGGGUGUGGAAAGCCCAUUCCCCCCCUACUCAUGGACCACCAUAGUUCCCUUGUGAUGGGCUGUUUAGGGGGUUUCCAGAUUUCUGUCAGGGAACACCCUGCGUGGAUGUCUUAGCUGCAUCCCUGGUUCCUUCCUUAGGACAGAUUCUGGGACUGGGGUUGCUGAGACCAGUAUAGACACUGAGAGGCUCCGGACACCGCCCCACAUCCUCCCCACAGCUGCUCUCCAGCCCCACUCCCACUGGCAGCCUGGACUUCUCAGCUUGGCAGAAAGCCGGGGGCAGUAUUCCACCUCCUCCAGAGAAAAGCCUUGUCUACACCCAAGGCCUCACUGAUUCCAUCCAACGCUGAAAAUACCCAUUUACUCAGCUAUUUCUCCACGUUAUGGUCUAAGGCCCAGAUGCUUAGUUCCAACCAAAAUAGCCACAGAGGUCACUGUGGUCUGAGGGUCCUCUGGACCUCAGGCCUGUGUAGACAUCAUACUUGGUAAUAAUUAACCCACGGAGCUCACCACGUGCCAGACCCUCUGCGUCUCUGUGUGUCCUCACGGUAACCCUGAAGCUAGGGAUGGCUGUCUCCCAUCUUACAGGUGAGAACACUGAGGGUGCUCCAGAGAGCUGUGGGCCCUAGGCCUUGUCACCUGGGGGUGCAAAGGCGCUGCCCCAGUAGUCCGGCUGCCUGCUACCUGGCUGCCUGCUACCCAAUGGGGCAAAGUCCCAGCACUACCCCGAAACAAGGACAAGCUUUGGCCUAGAAGCUGGGCAGCCAGGUCCUGUGCCUGUUUUUUCUCCAUAUGUGCCCUGGGCAGCUCACCCUCUCCGUCUGUGAAAUGGGAGAGCAGGGAGUCAGAGACAGCCUCCUAGGCCUGUGGCGGCUCUGAGCACAGUGGGUGCAGAUACUCAGUGCUGAGUCAAAGAGAGAGAGAACCCUGCCAGAUGGGCCAGCUCACCACAAGCAGCCAAGCCCGGUCUUUGAGGGGUUGGAGUGGGCAGGCCUUUGACCAAGGCUGAGCUAGGAGGGACCUGACGGCCCCAGAUGGAGGCUGGCCCACCCUGCCCCAGCAGAUGGGAGGCUAUUUUUUAACCCCACAGGAAGAAGAGGACAGAAAUGAUUGCAGGGGGUUAACCUAGGCCCCUGGGGACGCUCCCUGUUUGCAUCCUCCUUUCCCCACAACCCAGAGAGCUAUGUGGGCUUCACCUGGAGUUCCCUGAAUCCUUCUGGAGCUCCCCGCAGAUCACAGCCGGAGCUGGCAGGGCCUGAGUGGCCCCUGUCUGCCAGGCGAGGGACCCAGAGCCCAGAGAAGUUUGACCAGGACUGGCUUCCUCUGCCCUCUCUGCUGUGUGCUUCCACCAGUGAGAAGGGCUGAAUAUCACCUGUGAGCCUGCCCCUGCUCCCAAGAACACCCUUUGGACACCUGUGGGCUCUGCAAGGUUGGUGUAACCCCUACAGAUGAGGAAACCAGAGACAGAGAAGUGAAGUAACUCAUGCAGGUGACGGCAGAGGGCAGAGUCAGGACUUGAACCUGGAGAGCCUGGCUCUAAAGCCCAAGCUGGAAUCUCGAUACUCUACACCUCGAUAAGUUUUUGGGAAAUGACUGACUAAACAGAUGAACGCGUUUGCCCCCCCGCCGCCCCAGAGCCCCCUUAAAGCCUACAUGUGGCAGUUUGGGCCCAUUUCCUUGGCUUCCCUCCCUGGAGGGGCACCCACUGCCAGUGUCCCUGGUGAGUGUUUGCCUGUGGGGGUACAAGUGAGGGUUCAGCAAAGGUGACCUGGUGUGAGGGGGGGGUGCCCCAGGGGGUGCAGAGGAGGGCCUCAUGAGGCAGAUUCAGAAUGAAGGUUCUGGCCCCCAGUGGAACCGUGCAUGGGCAAGGGGUCCUCAGGGCCAUUGGCCCAUAAUUGUCAGACGGGGAAACUGAGGCCCAGAGAGAGGAAGGGACUUGUCCUUAGUUACACAGAGUGUCUGGAUCACAGCUCUUAGGUCUCAGCUUCCCCAUUUGUCACACAGGGAGAAUAAAUCCCCCUUGUCCUGCCUGGGGGUAGACCCCAGGGGGCCCCUGUGCCCUCUCACACCUUCCAUUCCAGCUUCUAGAAUUCCACCAUCCAUGCACCAGCCCUGAGGGUAGGCGUUGCCCUCUUCUCACCUCCUGCUCACGCCUCUACUGCAGGAUGGGAACCAAAUGCCUCUCCACCCUUUUCCCACACCCCUUCUCUCCACAGUGAACUGAGGGGAGUUUCUGAUCCCUUAGCUCAAAGUCAGAGAAACUGAGAGGGGAGGGCUGGGUGGGAGCCGUGGGAAUGUCAUGCACAAGCAGUCGGACUCUCCAGGGGUCUGGAUCUCUCCCUUGCUGCCUUGAAGGCCCCUGCACAGGCUGUGGCACUGGCUGAGUACAGGUGCCUGAAGGCAGAGGCAUGGAUGGGAUGCUUCAUUCUCAGCCUGUUUUUGCCAGUGAAGACAAAAGGGAAGUCAUCUUCCGUUGGUCUAUGGGGACCCUGAGGUAGUAGGAGCUCGGUGAUAAUUCUAGGGACCACCCUGGGUUGUCAGGUGGGGGAGACAGAGAAGCCCACAUAGGAGGCACCAAAUGCAACUCACUCGUGCCCUUUUACUCAUGAGAGAACACGGAUCCAGAGAUGUCAAGUGACUCAGACACAGUCUCACAGCACACAGGCGGCAGAGGCAGGUAGGGGACUGGGCUUCCCUGGCAGCAGUCCCCAAGCCUGCCUGAGAGGCACAUCAGAAUCGCUUUAGGGGAUUUGCAAAACCACACCUGCCCAGGCCCAAACCCUAGAGAUUCUGAUUCCGCAGUCUGAGGUAGGAAUGGAGAAUCCUCCACAGCCUGAGGUAGGAACUGGGAAUCCAGUGUUUAAAACUCUCUAGGGGCGGUGAUUUCAGAAAACCUGCUGGCUCCAUCACACUUUGCUCAGGGACUGAGAUGGGAUGGCAUUUGGAAGACACAGGUAGGAGGAAGAGGAGGCAGUGGGGGGCACAGGGAGACCCUUCCCCUUCUGGUAAAAGCCUGUGGACGAGAGAACAGCCCGAGUAAGAUUCUGAGAACCCGAGACCCGGAUGGACCUGGAGUUUUUGUCUUGCGUAUAAUUUAGGGGGUCUGUGACACUGGGCUGGAGAUAACCGUGUCUUUCCUUUCCCUGGCCUCUAGCUGAAAUUUAGCAUCAUAUUCCAUGGCGAUUUUCCACCAGUGGAAAUCACAGGUGUUCUCUGGUAUCACAGCGGGGUCAGGGAUGACCUGAAAUAUUGUUCAUGCUCAUCACAACUGCAUGGCCCACCGCGGGGUCUUGUCACUCAGUGAGUUCUUGAAGAGGCACAGACAAAUGGAGUUCAACAAAUGGAAAACAACUGCCUUUAAUUAGCUCCGAGGACUACAAAGGGAACAACGUUAUAAUAGCAGCAACUCCAAGGAAGCAGCCACAGCUCUCAGCUCUCAGACCUGGGGCUGCCGCUCAUCAUCAGCUACAGCUAGGUUUGAUGGGAGUGCCCCCAUUUCAGGGGACAGCAGGCCCCCUUCACUCCCCGACUCAGUCCCCAUCUGCAGCAGCACAGCCUUCCUUGGCCUCACCAGGGAAGAAGAACAGGCCCCGCUCUCAGACAAGCCUUCCCAGAAGCCUGAGGACUCAAACACCCAAAUGUGUCUGGGUCCCUGCCCCGAGCCGGCCACCCAGGCAGCAGCCCUGAAUCACUCGGUCAGCCAGCGGCAGGGCAGGCCAAUGGGCUGGAGGGUAGGCAGGCAGGCAGACCCACCUCUGCAUCUCUGCUGACUGCCUCGGCUGAGGAAAGGCAGCACCAGCCCCCAACCCUGAAGUUCUAGAUCUCAUGCAGCCUCUCUGUUCUGGAACCAUCCAGAGGCACUGCCCUUAUACAUGGUCCACCCCCAGGCUCAGACAAUGAGAAUUCCACAAGCAGAGGGGACUCUAUUUGGGGCACAGAGAGGUUAAGUAACUCCCCUCCUAAGGUCUCUCAGCAAGGAAGCCACUGAGCCGUGGGACUUGAGCUCAGGGACUCUUGAUCCCCAGUCUCAGGUGUCACAGCCCCAUCUGGGCUCCUGCUAGGGAGGAGGAAGGCAGCAGGGGGUGUCUGAGGCCAGGGUGCAUCAGCCCUAAAUGCCAGACAGAGGCAGGAGAAGUCUCCCCAUGAGUCCCAGCCCCAUUAGAGGCUCCAGGUCGGGGAUCCCAGACCCCCUAUCCUUGCUGGGAGACACAACCCAGAACUCUGCAUCCCUGCAGCCACCAAAAAAGGCAAAAGCUGCCCAGAAACACUUUCUCCUCUUCCGUGGCCAAAUCCACGAACUUUCUCGAGGUCUGUCCCCCUGCCCCGUGCAGGUCCAGCUUCAGUGCAGCCCAGCUCUGUGCAGUUUUCCACAAAAGCCUGUGGCUUCCUUCUCCUCCCUCUGCUUCUGAUACCCCAGGAGUUACACACAAAAUGUUGGCGGUGGUCUCCAGGAAGACCCCUGCAUCCCACAGCUCUCCCCAGAAGUUGCCAGCAGUGACCUCCUGAGCCCAGGUGGGGAGUCCCAGGCAGGACAGGGGCUGGGGCUGCAGGCCCUGGGGCCCUGUUAGUGAAGCAGCAAGCCGAGGGUCCCUGAGAGUUUCCCUUGGCCCCUCUGAGGGCUGCCCUUUGAGGUCUUGAGGUCUUGGAGUAUCCAUCGCCCCCACGGCUUACUGUCCCCACCAGCGGAGGAUGAAAGUGCCACAGCGAUGUUCCACGCCAAGAGACCACAGAGACCACCAACCCCUCUUCCCACCUCAGGCUUUCAGAGGCCAGCGGAUUUAGGCGGACAGGCUGUGCGCUUGAGGGCAGCCAGGGCGGUCAGUGGAGGGACGUGGUCCGGGGCCUGGCCACAGCUCCCCACCCAGGGCCCUGGGCUAUUGUUACUCACCGCGGAUGAAGGUCGGCGAGUAGGUCGGGAAGGAGUCGAAGAUGCUGUUCGAUGCCAUGCCCCGCUCUGAAGAAGGCGAGAAUUUUCAGCCCUUCAGGGGGUUGGGUUGGGAUUCACUUGGUUGGCUGUUGUUUUAUUUUUUUUUCCUCUAGCUACUUUUGAAAAUAAAAGGGGGGGGUGUUGCUUUUUGUUGUUU
rnacentral:lncRNA from 1 species